UGCCCCCUGGUGUAAUGGCAGCACAGCGGUCUUUGGAACCGUUGGUGGAGGUUCGAAUCCUCCGGGGGCAA
rnacentral:tRNA from 1 species